UUUACCUUGCCUAAUCUUACCAUAUGGUAUGACAUUGGUUAAAUGCUAUUUUUUUGAUUUACUCAUGCAGGAAACCAGACGAGACGAUCCUUGGCUCAGUAAAUCAGGACGGAAUCUGUUACCACCAACAGGGCUGACCCAUGUUAUCAAUGCCAAAUUAGAUCGAAUCCUCUGCAUCUGCAUCUCAGACAUAGCCUGAGCCUAAGCAAGUUCAGAAAUGGGAAUUUGAGAAGCUAGAUGACAGCAGCCAAACUGGACUUCAUGAUCCAUUGUUUAAUCUCUUGUAAGCUGCAACCCUGAGCUGUAUAUAGUUUUCAGUGAUUUUGUAUAAACUUUUCACCCCCCCUGGAUUUGAUAUAUAUGUUGUUAUUGGUCAUUAUUGUUGGAUCCACAUUUUAUGGUGAUUUGAUGAUAUGAAAUAUUGGGUGGCUUCCUAUUCUGAAAAA